CUAACCUUUCAUUCAUUAGUCUGUGUUUUCUAUCUUCUUAAAUACGCAUCCGCCUCCUCCUCAAUGAUUCCACUUUCAAAUCCUUCUCAUCCUCAAUGAAUCAUCUUCCAUUUAUUCUUUUCAAGAUCUCCCUCCGCUAAGCACUUUAAUGUUAUCAUCAACGGUGAUAUUUCAAGUGAAGAUCCAAUAGAAUAAAGGGUUAAAAUGUAUCAUCAACGGUUAUAUUUCAAGUGAAGAUCCGAUAGAAUAAAGAGAAAUCGAAGAAAGAGGUGAUCAACUGCGAUUCUGGUGUAUUGGAUCUGUUAAUGGAGGCAUUAAAGAAUGUUUUAUGAACGAGAAGCGAAUUAAAGAUAUAUAUUCUGACUCAAGCUUGAUGGUGCAACUGUUGCGAGGUGUCCCUCAUCGUAACAUGUAGCAGAUAUAGAUGCUAAGGAAUGUCCAGGCGCAUCAUUAAUGCUAUUGAGGAGGUUUGGGUAUGUCGGGCGUGAGCAGAUUUGGACCAUUGGAACUGAACGCUGCAACCACCGGUGAUGAGCAACUGUAAAAUUAGUAGCGAAACAAGAGGAUGCUUGUUUCAAGGGUUGCAAGAAAAUAGAAAUGGUGGAUUCAACAAAGAUUAGGAUUCUAAGGAAAUAACUAUGCAGUUCUUUGAGCAUAGGUUACCAUCUAAAGUUAAAAGUCAAUGAAUGGAGUUAUUUUUAGAUGUCGGUAAUAUUAUUUAAUUCUUUGGGUUAUUAGAAUUUCAUCUUCAUUAUUUUUUAUAUAUUUGAAUAUUAUUGUCUUGCUCUAUGGAUUAUAAACACCAUACAUAACUAAAUCUAAUCCUACUACAAUGGGUUUAGCAUUGGUACCACCAUUGGUACCGCAUAGUAUCAACACCAAUGUUUAUUUUAUAUUUUUAAACACUUAUAAAUUGGUCGGUUCAUUUUAUAAAGGGGACUCCAUUUACUAAGGGAAAUGUUUUGGCAAUUCAAAGGAUAUGCAUCUUCAAAUGGACUCCACUAUCUUUAAAUUGUAUAAACCUGCAUCAGUUAACUUAGGAUCUAUGUUGAAUGAAAUUGGCCUCUAAAGGUUUAUAUCCGGCUUUUUGUCUACAAUAUGUAUUUUUUUAAAGUCCUUACGUCUGUUAAUUUGAAGAUCUUGUUGAAGAUCAUUUCCCUUUGGAGGAAAAUGAUGCACGGCCGUCCGACUGAAACUUACCGUGUCGACAUGAUAUGUAUGGAUGAAGAGGGUCAACAGAUUUAGGGUAGUUGUAUGCAUAGGAUUUUCCCAAGGCUUCAGGACAGCUCUGGAUGAAUGUCUUCUGAUAACCAGACAAUCACUUGCACCCAACAAUUCAACCUAUAACUACACCAAAAAUAAUCAGAAGUUAACUUUCAGUUUUUUCACCCAGAUUCAAAAAAGUCAAGAUUGGAACGGGCCUAAGUAUAACUUCAAUUUUAUGAAUUUCAAGGACGUUGUCCAAAAUUGAAUUGAAGUUAAUACCACUGUUGGUAUGUCAUUUAAUUCAA